GGAGGGGGGCUAGCGUUGUUCGGAUUUACUGGGCGUAAAGGGCGCGUAGGCGGUAUGCCAUGUCAGGGGUGAAAGGCCUGGGCUCAACCCAGGAACUGCCUUUGAAACUGGCAAACUAGAGUCCGAUAGAGGGUGGCGGAAUUCCCAGUGUAGAGGUGAAAUUCGUAGAUAUUGGGAAGAACACCAGUGGCGAAGGCGGCCAUCUGGAUCGGCACUGACGCUGAGGCGCGAAAGCGUGGGGAGCAAACAGGGAUUAGAUACCCUGGUAGUCCACGCCGUAAACGAUGUGUGCUAGACGUUGGGGGGCCUUAGGCCCCUGGGUGUCGCAGCUAACGCAUUAAGCACACCGCCUGGGGAGUACGGCCGCAAGGUUA
rnacentral:rRNA from 1 species